rnacentral:rRNA from 1 species
AUUAUUAAAAUAUAAAGAAUAUUUUUAGAUUAGUAUUAAAUAUAUUUAUGAAAUUAAAAUAAUUUGGCGGUAUUUUAGUCUAUUCAGAGGAAUUUGUUUUGUAAUUGAUAUUCCGCAAUAAAUCUUACUUAUUUUAAUUAAUUUGUAUAUCGUUGUCAUUAGAAUAUUUUAUAAGAAAAAUAAUUUUCUAAAAUUAAUAUAAAAUUUUAUGUCAAAUCAAGGUGCAGUUUAUAAAUAAGUAGAAAUGAAUUACAAUAAUAUUAAAUUAAAUGGAUUAAGGGUUGAAAUAUUUUUAUGAAGGUGGAUUUGAUAGUAAGGUUAGAAAUUAUAUUAAAUUGAUUAUAGCUCUAAAAUAUGUAC